rnacentral:rRNA from 1 species
CCUACGGGAGGCAGCAGUGGGGAAUAUUGCACAAUGGGGGAAACCCUGAUGCAGCGACGCCGCGUGAGUGAAGAAGAAUUUCGGUAUGUAAAGCUCUAUCAGCAGGGAAGAAAAAAGACGGUACCUGACUAAGAAGCCCCGGCUAACUGCGUGCCAGCAGCCGCGGUAAUACGUAGGGGGCAAGCGUUAUCCGGAUUUACUGGGUGUAAAGGGAGCGUAGACGGAGAAGCAAGUCUGAAGUGAAAGCCCGUGG